rnacentral:lncRNA from 1 species
AAUAUCCUGUACCGAUAUAUCAUCCCAAAUAUUAAAACAAAUAAAAUUAUCUGCACAAUUCAUUCAAAUAAUUUCAUUAAUCCGUCAAUCCGUUUGUUUGCGAAAUACUUGGACCAACAAGUCAGUUAACGCUUUAAAUACAAAGGCAAUUCUUUGCCUCUAGCUGCGAUAUUGACUUACAAAAUGAACUCGAAUAAAAGCGUCAGGCGGUGACUAUAGAUCAUCUCUAGCACCCUUCAUACCCUCUCGCACGAGUACACGUGUCGUAAUUCUCGUUCGUUUAAACCCUCCACCCUUAAUCUUCAUUUUCUCGUUGUGCUUUGAAUCGCAAAUGUCGCGCCCCUUCGUGGCGUAUCUCUCUUACUUCGAGGGGUCCAUAACAGAGGUCGCCUCUUUAGCUCAUCAGUUAUAAGGAUAAAGAAGAAAGAAAACGCGCUCAGAAACAUUGAAAAAAAGCUUUGCAAUAGGGGAAAUUCAAGGCGAAAAGGACUAUAAAAGGAGAUCUAAGAUUCCCUUAAGAGACUUCAAUUGACUUAAGCAAGUCACCAGCCACGUUUCAUUCGCACAACAACGAGGACAAUUAAGACUAUAUUAAUCAUCUAGGUUUCUUUCUUUCUUUAUCUCUUUUCCUUCUCUUCAACUAGUCGACAAAUUACGGUCAGUGCCCGUUUUACGGACGCAAAUUCAAUUACUGUUUCGCACAGAGACCGGCCAACAUAAAUAAUUACCAACGAAGCCAGACUCGUGGUCGUUCGGAAGAAAUGAAAUAGAUAAAAAGAGGGAGAGAACUUGUGAUUCUUGUGGCUUUUGUGGUCGCAAGAAUCCGAUGCUAGCGUGGUAAUAGCAUAAAUCAUUGUUACCUGGUCACGAAUAACGGUCGAUUGUUAUCAUGUAAGAAUCAUGCUUAAGAGACUUUCAUUAUCGAUCUAAAACAAGGAAUUUCAAAUUUAUAUAAUGUCGUAUGAUACUUCAUCUAAAGUGAGUUCAAGUGUUGACUUUUAUAAGUUCAUCUAAGAGAAAAUUAAUUACAUCUCCUUGAAACCAUUUAAUAUUUAUUCAAAACAUUUUUUGAUACUUCUAAAAACAACUGAUAUUCUAGAUGAUGAAUUUAAAUGAAAGAUUCAAAAUAUCAAACUUUAUGUGGAGUAACUGCUGCUUACAUUCGUUGCUUCGAGGACGCUACUUCAUCUAACAUUUGAACGUUCCCUCUACAAUCGUGUUCUUUUGCAAUAAUACUCCAUGGUAUUUUAUUCUCAGUACCCCUUUUUCUCUACAAUGAGCUCUUUUGUAUGCGUUACUGUAUCGCCUUUUAUCAUUCUUGUUACGUUUUUCAUGUUUCUUACUCAACUGUAGUAAUGAGCAUUCAAUGAAACUCCAGGAUUUUAAAUCGUGCUUUGAAACUUCAAAUGCAUACAAGACGAGUAUAAUAGAAACUUAAUCAUGGUUCGUACAAAAUUAAAGAAAAAUAAAGAAUGAAAUAAAUUAUCAACAAUAUAUCGUAUAUAAUAUACAUAAAUAUAAAUAGGAAAAUUUGAAAUGAAUAAAAUAUUACUUUUCGCAAAUGUUA